AGAGUUUGAUUAUGGCUCAGGACGAACGCUGGCGGCGUGCCUAAUACAUGCAAGUCGAGCGAGCUUGCCUAGAUGAUUUUAGUGCUUGCACUAAAUGAAACUAGAUACAAGCGAGCGGCGGACGGGUGAGUAACACGUGGGUAACCUGCCCAAGAGACUGGGAUAACACCUGGAAACAGAUGCUAAUACCGGAUAACAACACUAGACGCAUGUCUAGAGUUUGAAAGAUGGUUCUGCUAUCACUCUUGGAUGGACCUGCGGUGCAUUAGCUAGUUGGUAAGGUAACGGCUUACCAAGGCAAUGAUGCAUAGCCGAGUUGAGAGACUGAUCGGCCACAUUGGGACUGAGACACGGCCCAAACUCCUACGGGAGGCAGCAGUAGGGAAUCUUCCACAAUGGACGAAAGUCUGAUGGAGCAACGCCGCGUGAGUGAAGAAGGGUUUCGGCUCGUAAAGCUCUGUUGGUAGUGAAGAAAGAUAGAGGUAGUAACUGGCCUUUAUUUGACGGUAAUUACUUAGAAAGUCACGGCUAACUACGUGUCAGCAGCCGCGGUAAUACGUAGGUGGCAAGCGUUGUCCGGAUUUAUUGGGCGUAAAGCGAGUGCAGGCGGUUCAAUAAGUCUG
rnacentral:rRNA from 1 species